AUUUAAAUAGUUAAAAUAAAAAAUAUUGAUUUGUGGUGUCAAAGAUAGAGGAUUCUCUUUUAAAUA
rnacentral:tRNA from 1 species